AAAACCCGAUGUCCCACUCCUCCCCCAUCUGUUCCGAUUCCGCCGCCGGCGACGCCAUCAUUCCUCCACUCCCUCCGACGUCGCGAUAGGAUCCCUGCACCUCCUCCUUCCACCGCAGACUCAACUGCCUGUACACGCCGCUGUUCAUUCCCUCACCGCCUUCCCCUCCCUCCACCUGCAUCUAAAGAUAAAUUGGAUCCAGAGUCUCCCACUGCCGCCAAUCUCCCUGUGCUAGACGGCCGGCUCGGGUGCAGGUUCUGCACCUUCCUCACAAUCGCUCCCUCUUCUUCUCUUUGUAUCCCUCCCAUCUCUGCUCACCCUGCUAGAUCUGCUGAUUGCCUUGCAGAGAUGAAGGUCAAGCUUGGCGACCGUUUGUCCAGAAGCUAUCCCACGUCCGCCUUCAGUUCCACAAGAUUGUUGAUGCCAAGGAUGUAGUCAUAGAGGUGGGAGGUCUGGGGCGAGAUGGUUUGAGUUUAGGUGGUGUUGCACGUGAUGGAGAUAUGCAGCUGUGGAUCAGAAGUUGAGAUCCUCCCCUUUUCUUGGUUUAUUUGUUUCAUGUCAAAUUCAUGAGUACUUUAUGCCUUGUAUAUCAGCCAACCAACUAGAGAUACAUACCGAACCAACUAGGUCUUCUGAUUCUAAACACCAACCAAUACUUGCAAAUAAAAUCUGACAGAACCUAAGACAGGAAGGUUUAUCUAGGCUUUAGUUGGAUCCUGCACAGGAUCCUGAUUAUCAUUGCCUUUUUGCGUCCCUUGAUAUGCGGCGGUGCCGACUGACUGUAGUGUUUGACCCACAUGACAAGAUAUGAGUCUGACCCAUAGUAAUCUUUUUUUCUUCAGAAACUGGUACAAUUAUCUAACAGAAUAGGAAUGGAGAUGUGUGUCGGGCCUGGUUUAUUUCGGCCUGAUGUACUUCUUACUAUGAGGUUAAAUCAGUCAUCUUGGCACACAGUUAAGGAUCUAAGGACGAAUUAUUAUUUUUGUUUAUAACACCAGGAGUAGACAGUUUCUUAUUGUGCCACACUGCCACUGUAUUAUCUAGCGUUAAUUUUCUAACCUUUGAAAGCAACCUGCUAUUCUCUCCUCUGUUGACUGCUUGAGUAACAUUAUUGUGAUUAUUCUGCGGAACACAUUUACCUCAUGUGUGUUUUUAUUCGAAUAACAUGAUGAUGGUUGUACCCUGCAGUGAAACUCAUCCAAAAGUUGGAGAUGUGCCUGGUUAAUUUGUAUAGAUCAUGAGAUGGUGAUGAGUCAUUCUGCUCCUUGCGGUUGUAAUAGCAUAUCUUCCAAAAGGAUUGCAAAUUUUGUGAAUUCUCCUGUGCCAUAUGGGCUGGUGUCAUCUGGAUAUGUUCAUAGUCAAUGUCCACUGAAAAGUGAGAAGAUUUCAGAGAGAACGUGGGCUGGACCUCGAAAUACAAUGGCUAGCUACAUCCAUCUUCAAUUACAAUGGAAACAUUGUCAAAAGGUCGAGCUUUUCUCCAUAUUCUUUUUAUUUUAGGACCACUUCUCUCCAUACUUUCCAUUUUUUGUUUUCCAAUUAACGGAUUAUAGGCCAAAUGAAUUUAUACACAAAUCAUUUUGGAUUAACAUAUUAUUCUUCCCUCCUACCUAUAGUGUUGUAAUAAUCUAUGGCUGAAGAUACUAACAACAAAAAUCAAUCACUAGAAGCAUCCCCUAAUAUGCACGGAUGUACAAUCUUGUAAACCACAUCUUUCCGUUUACGCCUGUCAAUUUCGUAGCAUAAUUGUCGUUCCAAGCUUUGUUUUUGUCAUUUUUAUUGAUCCUCCAUUUUCAAAGUUCUCUUCUAUUGAUUUCAUCGUGUAAUCUUAUUUUGUACUCCCUCCGUCCCAAAAUAAGUGUAUCAACCUUAGUAUAUCUUUGUAUUAGAGUCAGUACAAAGUUGAGACACUUAUUUUAAGACGGAGGGAGUACUAUUUUUAAUACUCCAGCUCUCAGUUUUGAAUUGCUUUUGUAUACUAUAUUCAAUUAAUGAUAACAAGAGUUCAUG